rnacentral:rRNA from 1 species
UACAGAGGUCCCAAGCGUUGUUCGGAUUCACUGGGCGUAAAGGGUGCGUAGGCGGUCGGGUAAGUCUGAUGUGAAAUCUCACAGCUUAACUGUGAAACUGCAUUGGAUACUAUCCGGCUAGAGGAAUGGAGGGGAGACUGGAAUACUUGGUGUAGCAGUGAAAUGCGUAGAUAUCAAGUGGAACACUAGUGGCGAAGGCGAGUCUCUGGACAUUUCCUGACGCUGAGGCACGAAAGCCAGGGGAGCAAACGGG